CAAAUAGAGCGCUAGGGUUCCGGCCGCUGUAGCGGUGACUGGUCCGAGAGCACUCGACCUUUCAGACAAGGUUACACGGCGGGAUAAAAGCCCGGGAGAC
rnacentral:sRNA from 1 species